rnacentral:lncRNA from 1 species
AUACAGCUGGGGAUUUGAGCCAGAAGCCCGCACCUCCUCUCAUUACCCUGUAUCAGAAUUCUUCUCAUCUCCUCCCUUCUGAGAGGCCUCACAGACAGCUCAGAUAGACGGGGACUGAGCCUGGAUGGUAAGUUAGAUGAUGUUCUCCAGAACUUUUGGAAAUCACAGGGUGGGAGAGCCUCGCUGGUCUCCCAACAAUGCUCUUAAUGAGCAAUUUACCGCCACAGGCUGCACAUGUGCGGGAUCCAAAAACACAGGCUGGCUGCCGCACAUUUGGUGUCCUUGUUUGGUGUCUGCGUGCAACUUGAGAUUUCCAAAUGCCACCAGAGGAAGCAGAUGAGUGGCUUCCCUCCGGCUUUAUAGAUUCGGGGCCGAGGCAUGCUGAAUGCUGGCCUCAAGUCACACGGUAAGCUGACGAGCGCUUCAGCGCACUCAGAGAGAGUGCCAUUUCUCCAAAUAGAAAGGGGUUUGACGUGCAGCUGAAGCCAGCGUUUUGACUGCAUUGAAUAAUGCCUCAGGAACUAUUUCUUUCCUGCGUUUAACAAAUAUGGAGCACCUAUGAUUGCUUUGAAUCGCUGUUAGGUAAAGUAUAGGCAUAUAGGGAGCAACAGGAUAGUCACAGCACUUGUAAAAGUGUCCUUGUUGCCACCUGGCCAUUGCCCUCCUUCCUGUUUUCCCUUCAAUCUCAGCACGUCCUGACCCAAUCCUGAUAUAAUCCACCUGGCUUGCAUACUGACUUGGACUACAGCCCCUCUGGAAAAUUCUGAUCCGGUGCUCACAGGGACCUUGUUGCCUUCAGUCUCCAGGUGAUAGCUUAUAGGCGAAUGUGGGAAACAUGGACAUCCCUCAUGAUGACUGACUUGGGGAGUUUUAAGAUGCAGUCUGGGCUGCAUUCAGAUGCUGAGUGCAAAAGAGUGGAGUCAGACACGAUGCUCAUAAGCUCUUUGGCAAAUGGGAAAUGACCGCUCUAUAGUGCUUAGCCCCGUUUCUGGACCAAAGCAACCUGCGUUAAUUGUGGUUUUUUGAACCUUUCAUCAACCUACUCACAUAUAGGAAGGAUGACAGAAACACUCAGAAUUAUUUAUCCUGUUUUACAUUUAGGAUCUCUAACAUUUAAUUUUUGUUAUAUAGUCCAUUUAUUUGUUUGGGGGAGCAGGGGCCUGCCAUUGCACACAUGUAGUAGAAAUCAGAGAACUUGUGGAAUAAAUUCUCCCCUUCUAACAUGUGGGUCCUGGGCCUCAAAUUCAGACAGUCAGGCUUGGUAGCAAUACCCUCACUUACAGAGCCCCCUCUCCAGCCUACCUUUUCCCUUCUUGACUAAUGCUCUCAGAAAAGCAUCUUAAUUUUUUUCCUUCCCAUUGCUACAAUCUCUCAAAGAUAUACUUAAUGGUUUAUAUAUAUAAUGGGCUGGCAGAACCCUGUUUGCCCAGUCACUUAGUUAACAGUACUUAAACUGUAGGCACUGUAUAACUGUUUUCCAACAGAUAAAUUAAGUGCGGUCUUGUGUAAUGAAUGAGGACAGAGCUGGACAGAGAGAAACAAGGAGAAAGAACAUUUGAAAAUGUUGGGGGACUUUCAAGUUCACAGUGGAAGAAAGAUUGGAGCUUCAUCCAUGGGCGUGAAAGAGGGUGUUUCUGGUGGAAACAAUUGCUAGAAUGAAUUCAGAGGAGAUACUGGUCUCGUGCAGUGGAACUGUGGUAGAAGAGCUUACCAGGAGUGAUCCUGAAAGAUAUUAAGUGUGAAUGAAUGCACAAUGAGGUCGUGAGGAGCUAGAUUUUUCUGUCCCAGAAAGAAGGCAGAGUUCCCCUCAAACUUUCCCACCUACCUAUAACUUGUAACAACAUAGCCAGGCCUGGUGGUGCUGCCCUGCUAUCUCACCUACCCAGAAGCUGAGGCAGGAGGAUUGCAACAUCAAGGUCUGAAUGCACAGUGCAGUAAGUUUAAGAACAUCCCAGGAAACUUAGUGAGGAACCUGCUUCAAGAUUAAAAAGUCAAAAAGAGACUAAGUUUUGCAUUAUUUUCAUUUCCCCUUACAUCAUCUGGAAUAUGGUGAGAAAUGCAGUGAACUCUGAUCUCUGGACAUGGGGAACACCGACCUCUGGACAUGGCAUGGGUAUUGUUCUUAUAAAUUCACAGCAGCUGUAGUUAGUCGCACAAGACCCACAUAAGAAGAGUCUAGUCAAAAGUUCAGAAUAGUGGAAGAGAGGAACUCAUGAGCCCAGAUCUUUGUCCUGUUCGUUCUGAGAUUGCUGAACACAUAUGCUGUGUGACUAACUGCUCUCCAGUCCCUGCUGCUAUGCCUUCCCUUCAAUGAUGGAGUGUAUCUCCCAAAAGUGUAAGUCAGAAUAAACAUUUCUACCCU